rnacentral:rRNA from 1 species
AUUUCCUUCGGGGAUGAUUGUUCUGUGACUGAGUGGCGGACGGGUGAGUAACGCGUGGAUAACCUGCCUCACACAGGGGGAUAACAGUUGGAAACGGCUGCUAAUACCGCAUGAGCGCACAGUACCGCAUGGUACGGUGUGAAAAACUCCGGUGGUGUGAGAUGGACCCGCGUCUGAUUAGCUUGUUGGCGGGGUAACGGCCCACCAAGGCGACGAUCAGUAGGGGUUCUGAGAGGUUGAACGGCCACAUUGGGACUGAGACACGGCCCAGACUCC